rnacentral:tRNA from 1 species
GCCCGGGUGGUGGAAUGGUAGACACGCAGGUCUCAAAAACCUGUGAUAGCAAUAUCAUGUCGGUUCGACUCCGACCUCGGGCA